rfam:Dialister micraerophilus DSM 19965 genomic scaffold SCAFFOLD1, whole genome shotgun sequence.
CAUCAACAGGUCUGUGGUUGAAAAUCGAUGCCAGUCGCAGGCGAAACGAUCCACGUAAGAAGAUAAAAAUAUCUUUGAGCAUGGUGCGGUUUAGGUGUAAGACCUGCCGAUUAAAUUCGAGAGAAUCAGUAGUGAGAGGUAUAUUCCGCGUAGCGAACGUUCCUGCAGGCGAGUGUGGGGGAAAAGACCAGGUCAGCUGUUUGACG